rnacentral:lncRNA from 1 species
GCUUUUCCAUGCAAUCAACAUUAGGGUUUUAAACCCUAAACUGAAUUUUUCUUUUAGUCAGCAUUAGGGUUUUAAACCCUAAACUGAAUUUUUCUUUUAGUCAGCAUUAGGGUUUUAAACCCUAAACUGAACUUUUCCUUUUCAGCCAGCAUUAGGGGUUUAAACCCUAAACUGAGCUUUUCCAUGCAAUCAGCAUUAGGGUUUUAAACCCUAAACUGAACUUUUUCCUUUCAGCCAGCAUUAGGGUUUUAAACCCUAAACUGAGCUUUUCUAUGCAAUCAGCAUUAGGGUUUAAACCCUAAACUAAAUUUUCCUUUUAGUCAGCAUUAGGGUUUUAAACCCUAAACUGAACUUUUCCUUUUCAGCCAGCAUUAGGGUUUUAAACCCUAAACUGAGCUUUUCCAUGCAAUCAGCAUUAGGGUUUUAAACCUUAAACUGAAUUUUCUUUUUAGUCAGCAUUAGGGUUUUAAACCCUAAACUGAAUUUUUCCUUCCAACCAGCAUUAGAGUUUUAAACUCUAAACUGAGCUUUUCCAU